CCUACGGGGUGCAGCAGUGAGGAAUAUUGGUCAAUGGCCGCAGGGCUGAACCAGCCAAGUCGCGUGAGGGAUGACGGUCCUCUGGAUUGUAAACCUCUUUUGUCAGGGAGCAAAGGGCGCCACGUGUGGCGUUUUUCGAGUACCUGAAGAAAAAGCAUCGGCUAACUCCGUGCCCGCAGCUGCGGUAAUAUGGAGGAUGCGAGCGUUAUCCGGUUUUAUGGGGUUUAAAGGGUGCGCAGGCGGAAUGUCAAGUCAGCGGGAAAAUUUCGGGGCUCAACCCCGUCGUGCCGUUGAAACUGGCGGUCGUGAGUGAGCGAGAGGUAUGCGGAAUGCGUGGUGUAGCGGUGAA
rnacentral:rRNA from 1 species